ensembl:lncRNA
AGCGAGGCGGGAGCUCUAGGCCGGUGCUGAGAAAGUAGGAAGGGGAAGUUGGAGUUGAAGCAGCUGGAGAGGCGAGAGAUGCUGGGUGACCCCCCAGAGAACUGGAGGCUCCUCUGGGAGGAAACCUGGGAAGAGUGAGAAGGAGCAUUGUGACCAGAACAAGCCCCCACCACCCAUGUGAGACAGGUUAUGCCACCUUCAGAGAUGCUGAAGUGCCUCAGGAAAUGGUAAAACAACAACAACAACCCGCAUUCCUCUUUGGUCCUUUUCACUGCAAGUCUCAAGCUCACCUGGAUUCAGGGGAAAGGAACACAGAUCACACUUUUCAAUGAGCGG